rnacentral:rRNA from 1 species
UACGGAGGGUGCGAGCGUUGUCCGGAAUUAUUGGGCGUAAAGAGCUCGUAGGCGGUCUGUCGCGUCGGCUGUGAAAACCCGGGGCUCAACCCCGGGCCUGCAGUCGAUACGGGCAGACUAGAGUGUGGUAGGGGAGACUGGAAUUCCUGGUGUAGCGGUGAAAUGCGCAGAUAUCAGGAGGAACACCGGUGGCGAAGGCGGGUCUCUGGGCCAUAACUGACGCUGAGGAGCGAAAGCGUGGGGAGCGAACAGG